CGGUGGAACCCAUGCGUCGGAAGCGCGUGAACGGGUCAGAUGGGGAACCAAGCAGCCAUAAGCGUUGUGACCGGGUGCAGUGGAUCUUCUGCCGGAG
rnacentral:SRP_RNA from 1 species